rnacentral:rRNA from 1 species
GGUGAAAAGAACCGCAGUGAGCGGAGUGAAAUAGAACCUGAAACCAUCUGCUUACAAUCAUUCAGAGCCCUAUGAUUUAUCAGGGUGAUGGACUGCCUUUUGCAUAAUGAUCCUGCGAGUUGUGGUAUCUGGCAAGGUUAAGCGGAUGCGAAGCCGUAGCGAAAGCGAGUCUUAAUAGGGCGAUCAAGUCAGAUGCUGCAGACCCGAAGCUAAGUGAUCUAUCCAUGGCCAAGUUGAAACGCGUGUAAUAGCGCGUGGAGGACUGAACUCGUACCCAUUGAAACGGGUUGGGAUGAGCUGUGGAUAGGGGUGAAAGGCCAAACAAACUUAGUGAUAGCUGGUUCUCUUCGAAAUAUAUUUAGGUAUAGCCUCAAGUGAUAAUAAAAGGGGGUAGAGCCCUGAUUGGGCUAGGGCUGCUCGCCGCGGUACCAAACCCUAUCAAACUUCGAAUACCUUUUAUCGUAUCUUGGGAGUCAGGCGGUGGGUGAUAAAAUCAAUCGUCAAAAGGGGAACAACCCAGACUACCAAAUAAGGUCCCUAAGUUCUAUUCUGAGUGGAAAAAGAUGUGUGGCUACUCAAACAACCAGGAGGUUGGCUUAGAAGCAGCCAUCCUUUAAAGAAAGCGUAACAGCUCACUGGUCUAGUGGUCAUGCGCUGAAAAUAUAACGGGGCUAAGAUAGACACCGAAUUUGUAGAUUGUGUUAAACACAGUGGUAGAAGAGCGUUCAUACCAGCGUUGAAGGUAUACCGGUAAGGAGUGCUGGAGCGGUAUGAAGUGAGCAUGCAGGAAUGAGUAACGAUAAGAUAUAUGAGAAUUGUAUCCGCCGUAAAUCUAAGGUUUCCUACGCGAUGGUCGUCAUCGUAGGGUUAGUCGGGUCCUAAGCCGAGUCCGAAAGGGGUAGGUGAUGGCAAAUUGGUUAAUAUUCCAAUACCGACUGUGGAGCGUGAUGGGGGGACGCAUAGGGUUAAGCGAGCUAGCUGAUGGAAUAGCUAGUCUAAGGGCGUAGAUUGGAGGGAAGGCAAAUCCACCUCUGUAUUUGAAACCCAAACAGGCUCUUUGAGUCCUUUUAGGACAAAGGGAGAAUCGCUGAUACCGUCGUGCCAAGAAAAGCCUCUAAGCAUAUCCAUAGUCGUCCGUACCGCAAACCGACACAGGUAGAUGAGAUGAGUAUUCUAAGGCGCGUGAAAGAACUCUGGUUAAGGAACUCUGCAAACUAGCACCGUAAGUUCGCGAUAAGGUGUGCCGCAGCAAUGCGGUCUCAGCAAAGAGUCCCUCCCGACUGUUUACCAAAAACACAGCACUUUGCCAACUCGUAAGAGGAAGUAUAAGGUGUGACGCCUGCCCGGUGCUCGAAGGUUAAGAGGAUGCGUCAGUCGCAAGAUGAAGCGUUGAAUUGAAGCCCGAGUAAACGGCGGCCGUAACAAUAACGGUCCUAAGGUAGCGAAAUUCCUUGUCGGUUAAAUACCGACCUGCAUGAAUGGCGUAACGAGAUGGGAGCUGUCUCAACCAGAGAUUCAGUGAAAUUGUAGUGGAGGUGAAAAUUCCUCCUACCCGCGGCAAGACGGAGAGACCCCGUGGACCUUUACUACAACUUAGCACUGCUAACGGGAAUAUCAUGCGCAGGAUAGGUGGGAGGCUUUGAAGUAGGGGCUUUGGCUCUUAUGGAGCCAUCCUUGAGAUACCACCCUUGAUGUUUCUGUUAGCUAACUGACCUGUGUUAUCCACAGGCAGGACAAUGCUUGGUGGGUAGUUUGACUGGGGCGGUCGCCUCCUAAAAAGUAACGGAGGCUUGCAAAGGUU